UAUCUCCUCCUCUCUCUCAUCUCUAUCUCUAUCUCUCUCCCCACUUCCUGAAAUCAGUCGAUUUCGAUUCCAAAAUGUCGUGAUUGAUCUCUUCUCCUGGGAUGAUCUCGUCGUCGUCGUCUUUGAUCGUCUCGAGGGAUAGGGAUUGGGUUCGAUCGCCUCACCGUGUACGUCACCGUCUUCUCCUCCUCGCCGCCGUCCUUGUUCUGAUCCAAAAGCUCCUUCACCGGAACGCUAAUCUCUCCGACGGGCUUAUCGCCGACUAUGGGACGAUCAGCCACGAUCUCGAUGACUAAGAUGAGGCUUUAACUUAAACCGAGCCUUCACAUGGAGGUAGAGGGAGAAGAUGAGUUCAGGGAAUAGUAUGUUUGCCCCUUCUGCUCAGACUAUUUUGAUAUCGUCUCUCUCUGCUGCCACAUAGACGAAGAUCAUCCCAUGGACACUAUCAAUGGGAUAACUUCUUGGGGUUUGAGGAGGUGGUCUUCUUAUUCCCUGGAGGAUGGCCGGAGUCUCGAGAGAUUGCCGGAUUCUAACAAGUGAGUACUCUUCUUCUCUUCUCCUCUCUUGCCGUAUGUUUUGUGUAUUGAAUGGUCUCCUUUGAAGAACAUAAUAUUGGCAAAAGUCUAAAUAUUUUGUUAUCAAGUGAAUACUAGUUUUACAUUAAUAUGAAGAAUAAUGAAACUACUUUUAGAUACCAAAUU